rnacentral:rRNA from 1 species
GACGAACGCUGGCGGCGUGCUUAACACAUGCAAGUCGAACGGAAAGGCCCUGCUUUUGUGGGGUGCUCGAGUGGCGAACGGGUGAGUAACACGUGAGUAACCUGCCCUUGACUUUGGGAUAACUUCAGGAAACUGGGGCUAAUACCGGAUAGGAGCUCCUGCUGCAUGGUGGGGGUUGGAAAGUUUCGGCGGUUGGGGAUGGACUCGCGGCUUAUCAGCUUGUUGGUGGGGUAGUGGCUUACCAAGGCUUUGACGGGUAGCCGGCCUGAGAGGGGGAACGGCGACAUUGGGACUGAGAUACGGCCCAGACUCCUACGGGAGGCAGCAGGGGGGAAUAUGGCACAAUGGGAGGAAGCCUGAUGCAGCAACGCCGCGUGCGGGAUGACGGCCUUCGGGUUGUAAACCGCUUUCGCCUGUGACGAAGCGUGAGUGACGGUAAUGGGUAAAGAAGCACCGGCUAACUACGUG